rnacentral:rRNA from 1 species
GACGAACGCUGGCGGCGUGCUUAACACAUGUAAGUCGAACGGUGAUGCUCCAGCUUGCUGGAGUGGAUCAGUGGCGAACGGGUGAGUAACACGUGAGCAACCUGCCCCAGACUCUGGAAUAAGCGCUGGAAACGGCGUCUAAUACUGGAUACGAAACUGGCCCGCAUGGGCAUGGUUUGGAAAGUUUUUCGGUUUGGGAUGGGCUCGCGGCCUAUCAGCUUGUUGGUGAGGUAAUGGCUCACCAAGGCGACGACGGGUAGCCGGCCUGAGAGGGCGACCGGCCACACUGGGACUGAGACACGGCCCAGACUCCUACGGGAGGCAGCAGUGGGGAAUAUUGCACAAUGGGCGAAAGCCUGAUGCAGCGACGCCGCGUGAGGGAUGACGGCCUUCGGGUUGUAAACCUCUUUCAGCAGGGAAGAAGCGAAAGUGACGGUACCUGCAGAAGAAGCACCGGCUAACUACGUG